rnacentral:snRNA from 1 species
CUGCUUGCUUCAGCAGCACAUAUACUAAAAUUGGAACGAUAAAGAGAAGAUUAGCAUGGCCCCUGUACAAGGUUGACACACAAAUUCAUGGAGCGUUCCAUAUUUUU